rnacentral:rRNA from 1 species
AACUGCGAAUGGCUCAUUAAAUCAGUUAUCGUCUAUUUGAUAGUACCUUACUACUUGGAUAACCGUGGUAAUUCUAGAGCUAAUACAUGCUGCAAAGCCCGACUUCGGAAGGGCUGUAUUUAUUAGAUUAAAAAACCAAUGCCCUCCGGGGCUCACUGGUGAUUCAUGAUAACUUCUCGAAUCGCACGGCCUUGCGCCGGCGAUGGUUCAUUCAAAUUUCUGCCCUAUCAACUUUCGACGGCUGGGUAUUGGCCAGCCGUGGUGACAACGGGUAACGGAGGGUUAGGGCUCGACCCCGGAGAAGGAGCCUGAGAAACGGCUACUACAUCCAAGGAAGGCAGCAGGCGCGCAAAUUACCCAAUCCCGACACGGGGAGGUAGUGACAAUAAAUACUGAUACAGGGCUCUUUUGGGUCUUGUAAUUGGAAUGAGUACAAUUUAAUUCCCUUAACGAGGAACAAUUGGAGGGCAAGUCUGGUGCCAGCAGCCGCGGUAAUUCCAGCUCCAAUAGCGUAUAUUAAAGUUGUUGCAGUUAAAAAGCUCGUAGUUGAACCUUGGGCCUGGCUGGCCGGUCCGCCUCACCGCGUGCACUGGUCCGGCCGGGCCUUUCCCUCUGGGGAGCCGCAUGCCCUUCACUGGGCGUGCCGGGGAACCAGGACGUUUACUUUGAAAAAAUUAGAGUGUUCAAAGCAGGCUUAUGCUCGAAUACAUUAGCAUGGAAUAAUGGAAUAGGACGCGUGGUUCUAUUUUGUUGGUUUCUAGGACCGCCGUAAUGAUUAAUAGGGACAGUCGGGGGCAUCAGUAUUCAGCUGUCAGAGGUGAAAUUCUUGGAUUUGCUGAAGACUAACUACUGCGAAAGCAUUUGCCAAGGAUGUUUUUCAUUAAUCAGGAACGAAAGUUAGGGGAUCGAAGACGAUCAGAUACCGUCGUAGUCUUAACCAUAAACUAUGCCGACUAGGGAUCGGACGGUGUUAUUCUUUGACCCGUUCGGCACCUUACACGAAAGUACA